UACGUAGGGGGCGAGCGUUGUCCGGAUUUAUUGGGCGUAAAGAGCUCGUAGGCGGUUCGGCAAGUCAGAUGUAAAAACUCCAGGCUCAACUUGGAGAGGCCAUCUGAUACUGCCGUGACUAGAGUCCGGUAGAGGAGCACGGAAUUCCUGGUGUAGCGGUGAAAUGCGCAGAUAUCAGGAGGAACACCAGCGGCGAAGGCGGCAUCCUGGACUGGUCCUGACACUCAGGAGCGAAAGCGUGGGGAGCGAUCCGG
rnacentral:rRNA from 1 species